CCGUGGGAGGGAAGGCACUCUCUGUCAAGCUGCUGUCACCUUACCUGAAGUAAGGAGUCCACGCCUGCAUGUCCGAGGAAAACAGUUUUCUCAAACACAUUAGUUGAAAAACUGAAGACGCUGCCUAAAAUACAAGCUGAGUUAGAGACAGCCCUUGUAAGACUAGAAAAAGAAAUGGAAACUAAGUAACAUGAAUUAACAUAGUCCAGGGUCACAAAGCAACAUGGAACAAGAACCUGGAUCUGAAUUCAGAGGCAGAAUGCUGGAAUCUAAGCCAGAAUGAGGUUACUGCCUAGGCAAAGAAGAAGACAGCUCAUCACAGAAAUGAGUGGCAGAUGUGUUCACAGUACUACAAUCCAAGGCAUGAUUUUGUGCUGUCCUUGGAAAGCACCAAACUAAAGAAGAUCCUACAGAACAUAGAUGAUCCCAUCCCGGACCAUAUCCUCAAGUGACCGGCUCCUGUGUCCACGUGGCCUUGCCAAAAGGCAGCUAGACGUUCUCAGGGAUUUCCCAGAAGGCAAAUAUUCCUUUCCUCAUAAAAUUUGCGUAUGGUGCUCA
rnacentral:lncRNA from 10 species